AAAUACAAAAAUUAGCCAGGCUUGAUGGCACACACCUGUAAUCCCAGUUCCUCAGGAGGCUGAGACAAGAGAAUUGCUUACACCCGGGAGGCGGAGGUUGCAGUGAGCUGAGAUCACGCCACUGGACUCCAGCCUGGGCAAAAGAGCAAGACUCCAUCUCAAAAAAAACCAAACCAAACAAACAAACAAAACAACAACAAAAAACAAAACAAACUAUCUACCUCAAAUGGUAAUUGUGUCCGAUAAGUGCCAUUAUAUAUGACAGAAUCCAGCAAAGUACCUGGCACACAGGGGACCCUUAAUAAAUAUCAGUAACCGGCCAGAUGUGGUGGCUCACACCUGUAAUCCCACCACUUUGGGAGGCCGAGGCAGGCGGAUCGUGAGGUCAGGAGAUCGAGACCAUUCUGGCUAACAUGGUGAAACCCCAUCUCUGCUAAAAAUACAAAAAUAAUUAGCCGGGCGUGGUGGCGGGUGCCUGUAGUUCCAGCUACUUGGGAGGCUAAGGCAGGAGAAUCACUUGAACCCAGGAGGCGGAGCUUGCAGUGAGCCGAGAUGGUGCCACCGCGCUCCAGCCUGGGCAAUAGAGUGAGACUCCAUCUCAAAAAAUAUAAAUAAAAAUAAAAAUAAAAUAAAUAAAUAAAUAUCAGGAAACUUUUUUCUUAUCCAAGGAUCCCAUCACCAGAGAAUGUUUCUGAACAUAGUGGUACUGAAACACCUUUUCCUCCCCUACACCCCCUAUAGCUCAAGUGACCACACAUCCCAGUUUAUGCCUAUUAUUCUGGCUUAACCAAUAGCGCCUCUUCCACUCUCAGAGUGCCCCAACUUGGAUGAUAAAUUAUAAGGUCCCUCUACCUACUGUUUUAUUCUUUCCAGAAAACGUAUCCUGCUAAAAGGCACAGAGAGCUGCAUGGUCUUUCUGAAUAAAGGCUACAAAAAUGUGUCUUCAAUGGCAGCCCUAGAGUCACUGCAAAAAUAAACACACAAGCAAACAAAUGGGGAGGGGGUGCCCCAGCAGACACGUUUUAAUUUUAUUGCGGAAGUGAUGGAAGUGGUUCAUCACUUACAGGUUAACUACACAUUUGAGGUGAAUUUUAGACCACAGAAACAGGAAGUAGUAAACAUCUGUGAUGAAACUUUGAUACUUCAAGAUGCUUGUCUUAGGGACCAACAUUCUCUCAGACUAGCAGAUUAUUUCCAUGGUGAAUGAGUCUUCUUAUUAAUGGUGUGUGAACUAUAUACAUGAUGACUGAAAGCAGCUCAUAAGAUAAAAUUCAUCACCUUUUCUGAGGCACUGAGGCUGAGUAAAUAUUGACUCACCCCAGCCUCUCUACUUAAGGUGAACAGAUGUGGAUUGGCUGGAGCAGAACUGUUUGCCCCUGUGGACUCACCAUAGUUAUUUUCAUCCCCCAAGUCAGUUCUUAAAUCGCCCAGUGUUGACAGAAAAAAAUGCCUCCUCUCCCGGGGAACAGGAAUAAACACUGGUAUAAAAAUUAAAAGGACUUAUUCUGGACUUGCCAGCUCACUUCAAAUGUGAACUUUUAGUACUUUUAACACAUCUCAUUAAUAAUAUAGCCCAUUUAAUAUACUCUAUAAAUACAAUCCACUUGUAUCACAUUUCAUGUUUCAAAUAGAGUGACAGAGAUUCACGAGGUAAAUUCUAUCAUAUGAGGCGUCCACAAAACAGAGAAAUAAAAGCUUCCUUGAAGUGGUUUACAUUUUGCUAAAGCAUUUCUGUUAUAAUUCCACACUAGAAUUAGAAUGUAAGCCCUGUGGUGGCAGCAAUUUUGUGACUUCCAUUCAUUGCUAUAUCCCAUUUGCCCAAAAUAAUUCCUGGCACAUAGUAAAUGCUCAAUAAAAAUAUAUAGAAUACGUUAACAAAUUUCAGGCAGUUUAAUAUUCUGAGUAAUGCAAAAUAAUCAUAAUUUCCUUGAUAGGUUUUUAAGGCAUUUUUCAUGUUCCUGAAUACAUUUUUUUCCGUGUUUCCCAAUUGAAAAACCAAGACUUCUUUUCACUCAUUGAUCGAUAGCUGUGGUUAUCUUUUAUCUUAUUCCAAUUUUCAAAUUUAAAAAAAAAUGAUUUUUAAAAUCUUCACUUAAGAGCAGUCCCAAGACACGUAAUUGUCAGAUUCACCAAACUUGAAAUGAAGGAAAAAGUGUUAAGGGCAGCUAGAGAGAAAGGUUGAGUUAUGCACAAAGGGAAGCCCAUCAGACUAACAGCAGAUCUAUCGGCAGAAACCCUACAAGCCAGAAGAGAGUAUGGGCCAAUAUUCAACAUUCUUAAAGCCAAACUAAGCUUCAUAAGUGAAGGAUAAAUAAAGUCCUUUACAGACAAGCAAAUGCUGAGAGAUUUUGUCACCACCAGGCCUGCCUUACAAGAGCGCCUGAAGGAAGCACUAAACAUGGAAAGAAACAACCCGUACAAGCCACGGGAAAAAAAAGGCCAAAUUGUAAAGACCACCAAUGCUAUGAAGAAACUGUAUCAAUUAACAGGCAAAAUAACCAGCGAACAUCAUAAUGACAAGAUCAAAUUUAAACAUAACAAUAUUAACCUUAAAUAUAAAUGGGCUAAAUGCCCCCAUUAAAAGACACAGACUGGCAAAUUGGAUAGAGUCAAGACCCAUCAGUGUGCUGUAUUCAGGAGACCCGUCUCACGUGCAAAGAUGCACAUGGACUCAAAAUAAAGGGAUGGAAGAAGAUCUAUCAAGCAAAUGGAAAGCAAAAAAAAAAACCAGGGGUUGCAAUCCUAGUCUCUGAUAAAACAGACUUUAAACCAACAGAGAUCAAAAGAGACAAAAAA
rnacentral:lncRNA from 10 species